AACCACGACAGAGCACAGAGCGAACUAUUCUUUCGCCUUUUACUAAAGAAUACCGUGUGCACACUGCAAUUAGCAGCAUACGCUAAUUUUUGAAGCGAAUUCUCUCAAAUCAGG
rnacentral:snRNA from 1 species